GUGUACUUAGCUCAAUGGUUAGAGCAUCACUCAUGAAUGCUGAGUAUGUGAGUUUGCCUUUCACAGUACAUG
rnacentral:tRNA from 1 species